rnacentral:lncRNA from 1 species
UUUGAAAAUGAAAGGCAGAAAUAAAUUAGGCUGAGAGUUUAACUUGAGCUCAUGCUCACUCACACAACAUGAAUACUAAAAAAAAGGAAACUUUUCAUAAAACAUCUUAUAGUCUCUUUUCCAUAAGUGUGGCGCGCUACACACCAAUGCACAAGACUUUACUUGAUGCGGCUUUUAGAAUCUCUAGGACUCUGCUGAUCCUUAGGCUCUGAUACCAAUUUUGUA